rnacentral:rRNA from 1 species
CAGCAGCCCGGUAAUACGAGGGGGGCAAGCGUUGUUCGAAAUUAUUGGGCGUAAAGGGUGCGUAGGCGGCUUGACAAGUCUUGUGUGAAAUCUAUGGGCUCAACCCAUAGUCUGCACGGGAAACUGUCGGGCUUGAGAAUGGGAGAGGUGAGUGGAAUUUCCGGUGUAGCGGUGAAAUGCGUAGAUAUCGGAAGGAACACCUGUGGCGAAAGCGGCUCACUGGACCAUUUCUGACGCUGAUGCACGAAAGCUAGGGGAGCAAACAGGAUUAGAUACCCGUGUAGUCCCUGUCUCUUAUACA